ACUUUGGGCAACGUGGUUGGAAUGUAUCUGGCCCAGAACUACGACAUAAACGAUAAUAUUCCUUUCUUCUUUUUAAAGAUGCCAAACCUGGCUAAAAAACUUGAAGAGAUUAAAAAGGACCUGGAAGCCAAGAAGAAGCCCCCUAGUUCCUGAUGCCCACCUGGCACUGUAUUCUGGACCCACCAAUUCCGUCCCGGGGCCUGCCUUCUUCACAGCCACAUCCAAAGCUGUGUUCCUCUUUGGUCUCAGAGCCUGCGAGUUGCCUCAGAUCUAACACCGGCCCGAAGUCGAGUUAGCUCUUCGUUUCCAGCAUCUCCCCUCCCCCCGUAUCUUCUGUCCAGCAGCUUCUGAGUCCUAAGGCUGGAACUAAGGUGCUAGGUCAGCAAACACAACCGUAACUGGUAUUCACCUGUGCUCUGAGAGACCCCCGUGGUCAAGGAAUGACUGGCUUUGGAUAGCCGCUGCAUUCACUGUCUAGCAGUGACAGUAGGAGCUUGCUACACAAACCAAAUUUUGUUAAAGUAAUUAAAAUCAGUAUCUUCAAGCC
rnacentral:lncRNA from 1 species